ensembl:lncRNA skin secretory protein xP2-like
AUGCCACGUGGGAGGCGGCGGAGCCGCCGUCGGCGCCGGGCCGGAACCGCGGCCCCCCUGACGUUGGGGACGGCGCUCGCCGGGCGUCGGGAGGAGGGGAGGUCUCGGAGCCCCCGGGACCGCAGCGCGGUGGCCGAGACCCGAUGGGUGCUCGGCGCCGUGGCGCCCGGCUCGCGGCUCGGCCUCCCGGGCCUAGAAGCGCUGGCGGCGGCGGCCGGGCCUAGGGGCGGCUCCCCGCCCUGGGCGGCGCCCGCGCUGCUCCAGGUGCCGGCGGCGGCCCAGCCGGCCCCGCGGAGGGACGGUAGCGACCUGCCCGCCUGCGCGCCCGCCGCCCUGGCCGUGCUGCGCCUGCAGCCGGGCGCCGAGGGAGCGGCGAGGGCGGCGGCGGCGGCUGCCGGGGCCGCGCCGCGCCUGCGGACCGUCUACGUGAAUCCGCGCUGGCUGGAGCGGCAGGCCGCGCUGGGGGCGGCGGCGGCGGCGGCCAGCCCGUGCGCCGAGGCGGCGGCGUCGGCGGCAUCGGCGGCGGUGGUGGCGAACAGCGCGGCCGGGGACCCGGCGGCGGCGGCGUCGGCGUCGGUCGCGGCGGCGGGGCAGGGCGAGGCGGUGGCGGCUGCAGCGGCGGCGCCCGCGAAGGCGCCCGCGCCCGCACCCCCGCCCCCCACGGCGGAAGCGGCGGCCACCCCCUACGUGGGGCUGCGGCGGCCCCUGGGCUACCAGCUGGCCAAGGCCACCAAGGAGCGCAUCUGGCGGGGGGAGUUCAUUGACCUGUUUUCCUUGCUCCACACAGAGCUGACCCCCGAGCACAGCCCGCACCCGGGGGACACGCUGGACCAGUGGGUGUCGGCCUUUCUGGUGUACGCCAGCGUGGUGUGCGAGAAGCACCCGGCACGUUGCGGAGCCAUGUUCAAGUACCUGGACACCAUCCGUAAGCUGCACGCCACCUAUGGGGGCAACUCGUGGAUGAACUACGACGAGGAUUUCCGGCGGCGGGCGGCCAAGGACCCCAACCUGCCGUGGGGCGACGUCGACCUGGACCUGUGGAUGAAGUGGAUGGCCCCUCUCAAGUCGCUCCUCAGCAGGCACAAUCGUAUGGACAACGAGCCGCCGGCCGCUCCGCCGGCACAACAACCACCGCCUUCAUCGUCAUCCCAGAGCCCCAGGAAGGAGGAGAAGAGCCAGACUCCGUGAAAGCAGAAGACCAGUUGGAAUGACAAGCAGAAUAAGUGGCCUGACUCCGUUGGUGUUUAAGUGGAGCUCUGGUAUUCUAGUGCAUUCUUUUACCUCUGCUUCUGUUGCGUUGCGAGCUGUGCUAGAGAAGACGUAGGAAAUUCCAUUUUACCCAAUCAGCAAUUGUAACAAUGGACUACAAACCUGCAGAGCAAGCCGGUUUGCUGGAAAACAGGAAUUCCUGCAGCGCAGCACUUGUCACAGACUAUCCAAAGAGGGCAAAGAUUCAGGAGAGUGAAUAAAUUGAACGUUGAUUGAAUGAGGUCA